UCAUUAUGAGCUUUGAAUGGCUAAAAUUGGUUAACUAUGCUGGGAGAAAUCUGAGUUUAAAAUUUUGUUGGUUGUUUUUGUUUUGCAUGAUUCCAUGAUGAUUAGCUCGAGUUCAUGAAUUUUAAUGGUAGCAUGUUGAUAUGCAUUGUUUGCUGAUUCUAAUGAUAUGCUUUCUAUCCAUUUCUGUGACCAAAUUUUUUUCGAGUUGAUUGGAAGUGAU
rnacentral:lncRNA from 1 species